rnacentral:rRNA from 1 species
GACGAACGCUGGCGGCGUGCCUAAUACAUGCAAGUCGAACGCAUUUUCUUUCACCGUAGCUUGCUACACCGAAAGAAAAUGAGUGGCGAACGGGUGAGUAACACGUGGUUAACUUGCCAAUCAGCGGGGGAUAACACUUGGAAACAGGUGCUAAUACCGAAUAUUUCAUUUUAUUCCAGGGUAGUGGGUUAAAAGGCGCUUUUCGGCCACUGUGGGUGGGACCCGCGGUGCAUUAGCUAGUUGGUGGGGUAACGGCCUACCAAGGCUGCGAUGCAUAGCCGACCUGAGAGGGUGAUCGGCCACACUGGGACUGAGACACGGCCCAGACUCCUACGGGAGGCAGCAGUAGGGAAUCUUCGGCAAUGGACGCAAGUCUGACCGAGCAACGCCGCGUGAGUGAAGAAGGUUUUCGGAUCGUAAAACUCUGUUGUUAGAAAAGAACAAGGAUGAGAGUGGAAAGUUCAUCCCUUGACGGUAUCUAACCAGAAAGCCACGGCUAACUACGU